GACGAACGCUGGCGGCGUGCUUAACACAUGCAAGUCGAGCGAGAAAGCACCUUCGGGUGUGAGUACAGCGGCGAACGGGUGAGUAACACGUGGGCAACCUGCCCUGGAGAGCGGGACAACCCGAGGAAACUCGGGCUAAUACCGCAUAUUCCGAUUCGGCCCAGGUCGAAUCGGGAAAUGGUAGCUUCGGCCUCCGCUCCGGGAUGGGCCCGCGCCGCAUUAGCUAGUUGGUGAGGUAACGGCUCACCAAGGCGACGAUGCGUAGCUGGUCUGAGAGGAUGGCCAGCCACAUUGGGACUGAGACACGGCCCAGACUCCUACGGGAGGCAGCAGUGGAGAAUAUUGCGCAAUGGGCGAAAGCCUGACGCAGCGACGCCGCGUGUGGGAUGACGGCCUUGGUUGU
rnacentral:rRNA from 1 species